rnacentral:tRNA from 1 species
ACUUAAGUAGUUUAUAAUAAAAUUGUGAUUUGUGGUGUCAUAGAUAUAGUAGUUAUCUUAAGUU